GAUAACUCUGUCAACCCAGAGCUAAUACAUGCACAAAAGCCCCAACUUAUGGCGGGGCGCAUUUAUUUGAUCAAAACCAAUCAGGCUUCUGCCUGGGUUUGAUGACUCUGAGUAAAGAGCGAAUCGUGCAGUCAUAGUACUGACGAUAUAUCCUUCAAGUGUCUGCCUUAUCAACUUUCGAUGGUAGUUUAUGUGCCUACCAUGGUUAUAACGGGUAACGGAGAAUAAGGGUUCGACUCCGGAGAGGGAGCCUGAGAAACGGCUACCACAUCCAAGGAAGGCAGCAGGCGCGCAAAUUACCCACUCUCAGCAUGAGGAGGUAGUGACGAAAAAUAACGAGGCGGUUCUCUAUGAGGCCCGUCAUCGGAAUGGGUACAAUCUAAACCCUUUAACGAGGAUCUAUUGGAGGGCAAGUCUGGUGCCAGCAGCCGCGGUAAUUCCAGCUCCAUUGGUGUAUACCAAUGCUGUUGUGGUUAAAAAGCUCGUAGUUGGAUCUGUCGCUAUGGGCGCCAGUCACCCACUGGGUUGUACUGGUGGCUCAGGCGUUUGCAGCUGGUUUUCCGUACAUGUGCUUUACUGCGUGUGUGCGGUGACUGGCAGAUUUACUUUGAAAAAAUUAGAGCGUUCAUAACAGGCGUUUAGCCUGAAUAUUGUUGCAUGGAAUAAUGGAAUAGGACCUUGGGUCUAUUUUGUUGGUUCAAGAGCUGAGGAAAUGAUUAAGAGGGACAGACGGGGGCAUUCGUAUUGCGGCGUUAGAGGUGAAAUUCUUGGAUCGCUGCAAGACGAACAAGUGCGAAGGCAUUUGCCAAGAAUGUUUUCAUUAAUCAAGAACGAAAGUUCGGGGUUCGAAGNGAUCAGAUACCGCCCUAGUCCGAACCGUAACUAUGUG
rnacentral:rRNA from 1 species